AUGUCUGCUUGAAGAACAAAACUCAAACUUUCCCAAAGCUCGCAAAAAUCCGCACUUUUAACGUACUUCUUCAUGAGAUGGAACGUUUCUCUCUCUCUCCAUUCAUGGUAAUAUCAGUGGCAUAUUAACAAAUUUGUAUUCUAACAUAACUCCUUAUCUCAUGACUCUCGUAGAAAGCCACAAGAUCUUCCAUGGUUAGAAAAAUAGCUUUAACAUGGCAAUCAUGUGAGACCAGCAAUCAGACAUGUAAUUGUGUUUUUAAAUAACUUCUUUAUGCGUCAUUUGUAAGAUGUUAUCGUAUCAGGAUGUCCAUCAUAUUUUUAUCAUGAAAAAUUAUUUCUUUUGAAAA